rnacentral:rRNA from 1 species
UACGUAGGGUGCGAGCGUUGUCCGGAAUUAUUGGGCGUAAAGGGCUCGUAGGCGGCCAACUAAGUCGGACGUGAAAUCCCUCAGCUUAACUGGGGAACUGCGUCCGAUACUGGAUGGCUUGAGUUUGGGAGAGGGAUGCGGAAUUCCAGGUGUAGCGGUGAAAUGCGUAGAUAUCUGGAGGAACACCGGUGGCGAAGGCGGCAUCCUGGACCAACACUGACACUGAGGAGCGAAAGCCAGGGGAGCAAACGGG